GACGAACGCUGGCGGCGUGCUUAACACAUGCAAGUCGAACGGUAAGGCCCUUCGGGGUACACGAGUGGCGAACGGGUGAGUAACACGUGGGUGAUCUGCCCUGCACUUCGGGAUAAGCCUGGGAAACUGGGUCCAAUACCGGAAAGGACUCCUGCCUGCAGGGGUGGGGGUGGAAAGCUUUUGUGGUGUGGGAUGGGCCCGCGGCCUAUCAGCUUGUGGGUGGUGUGAUGGCCUACCAAGGCGACGACGAGUAGCCGGCCUGAGAGGGUGACCGGCCACACUGGGACUGAGAUACGGCCCAGACUCCUGCGGGAGGCAGCAGUGGGGAAUAUUGCACAAUGGGCGCAAGCCUGAUGCAGCGACGCCGCGUGAGGGAUGACGGCCUUCGGGUUGUAAACCUCUUUCAGCACAGACGAAGCGCAAGUGACGGUAUGUGCAGAAGAAGGACCGGCCAACUACGUGCCAGCCGCCGCCGUAA
rnacentral:rRNA from 1 species